CGUUCCCGGGCCUUGUACACACCGCCCGUCACACCACGAAAGUCGGUAACACCCGAAGCCAGUGGCCCAACCCGCAAGGGGGGGAGCUGUCGAAAGGUGGGAAUCGGCGAUUGGGGGUGAAGUCGUAACAAGGUACCC
rnacentral:rRNA from 1 species